AGACCCGAAACCCGGUGAUCUAGCCAUGGGCAGGUUGAAGGUUGGGUAACACUAACUGGAGGACCGAACCGACUAAUGUUGAAAAAUUAGCGGAUGACCUGUGGCUGGGGGUGAAAGGCCAAUCAAACCGGGAGAUAGCUGGUUCUCCCCGAAAGCUAUUUAGGUAGCGCCUCGUGAAUUCAUCUCCGGGGGUAGAGCACUGUUUCGGCUAGGGGGCCAUCCCGGCUUACCAACCCGAUGCAAACUGCGAAUACCGGAGAAUGUUAUCACGGGAGACACACGGCGGGUGCUAACGUCCGUCGUGAAGAGGGAAACAACCCAGACCGCCAGCUAAGGUCCCAAAGUCAUGGUUAAGUGGGAAACGAUGUGGGAAGGCCCAGACAGCCAGGAUGUUGGCUUAGAAGCAGCCAUCAUUUAAAGAAAGCGUAAUAGCUCACUGGUCGAGUCGGCCUGCGCGGAAGAUGUAACGGGGCUAAACCAUGCACCGAAGCUGCGGCAGCGAACGUAUCACCCAAGACAACUUUACGGAGUUGACGAUUGACGGAGCGAAGCGACGUCAAAGCGUUCAUUAAAGUCGAGUUGGCUUAGGGAUACGUUCGUUGGGUAGGGGAGCGUUCUGUAAGCCUGUGAAGGUGUGUCGUGAGGCAUGCUGGAGGUAUCAGAAGUGCGAAUGCUGACAUAAGUAACGAUAAAGCGGGUGAAAAGCCCGCUCGCCGGAAGACCAAGGGUUCCUGUCCAACGUUAAUCGGGGCAGGGUGAGUCGACCCCUAAGGCGAGGCCGAAAGGCGUAGUCGAUGGGAAACGGGUUAAUAUUCCCGUACUUGGUGUUACUGCGAAGGGGGGACGGAGAAGGCUAUGUUGGCCGGGCGACGGUUGUCCCGGUUUAAGCGUGUAGGUGUGUGUUCUAGGUAAAUCCGGUUCACUUUAACACUGAGGCGUGACGACGAGGCACUACGGUGCUGAAGCAACAAAUGCCCUGCUUCCAGGAAAAGCCUCUAAGCAU
rnacentral:rRNA from 1 species